UACGUAGGGGGCAAGCGUUGUCCGGAAUCAUUGGGCGUAAAGAGCGUGUAGGCGGCCCGGUAAGUCCGCUGUGAAAGUCCAGGGCUCAACCCUGGGAUGCCGGUGGAUACUGUCGGGCUCGAGUCCGGAAGAGGAGUGUGGAAUUCCUGGUGUAGCGGUGAAAUGCGCAGAUAUCAGGAAGAACACCUAUGGCGAAGGCAGCACUCUGGGACGGUACUGACGCUGAGACGCGAAAGCGUGGGGAGCGAACAGG
rnacentral:rRNA from 1 species